rnacentral:lncRNA from 1 species
GAAUGUUCGAGGAAACACUGCAGGAAAUUGGACCCAAGAUUGGGCUAGAGCCAAGAGCCACCAGCAAGAAUCCUCUGAGAUGAGUCACUGACCCCAUCUGAUGGUCUCUGUGCAGAGCAGUUGAAAGUGAGUGAAGAAAACAGAGCUGUCCAAGGCCCUACAGCACAUGGAAGGAAGAGUGAAGAGACGGAACCGCUUCCCUAUUGUCGUAUGGAGUCUGGAAGCACAAGGGUUAAGAACUCCAAAUUCUUGAACUCCAUGAGACAAGGUCUGCCUUCAGGUCAAGAAAGCCCCCAGCCCAGUCCUUGGCUCCUACUGCCCCCACGACUGCAUGGCCCUGCCCAGGGAAGGAGAUGAGCGGGUCAGCUACCCACCGACCCACCCCCCAGAGCCAACUGCACUCCCUGCAGCCCAUUGCUCCAGCCCAGCACGCACCCUGCUGAGGUCAGCACUGAUGCCGCUGGAGGACAGCUCCAUGUUGAAGGAAGUCAGGUCCUGUUUGCUUGUGCCUGGGGAACAAAG